rnacentral:rRNA from 1 species
GACGAGCGCUGGCGGCGUGCUUAACACAUGCAAGUCGAACGGAAAGGCCCUGCUUUUGUGGGGUGCUCGAGUGGCGAACGGGUGAGUAACACGUGAGUAACCUGCCCUUGACUUUGGGAUAACUUCAGGAAACUGGGGCUAAUACCGGAUAGGAGCUCCUGCUGCAUGGUGGGGGUUGGAAAGUUUCGGCGGUUGGGGAUGGACUCGCGGCUUAUCAGCUUGUUGGUGGGGUAGUGGCUUACCAAGGCUUUGACGGGUAGCCGGCCUGAGAGGGUGACCGGCCACAUUGGGACUGAGAUACGGCCCAGACUCCUACGGGAGGCAGCAGUGGGGAAUAUUGCACAAUGGGCGGAAGCCUGAUGCAGCAACGCCGUGUGCGGGAUGACGGCCUUCGGGUUGUAAACCGCUUUCGCCUGUGACGAAGCGUGAGUGACGGUAAUGGGUAAAGAAGCACCGGCUAACUACGUG